AAGAAUCCACAUAUGAGGAACAAUGCAGUGGGAGCUAUUUCUGGUUACUUUGUUCGCUCAGCCCAGUUUGAUGGUCUGUCACCUCUAUGAGUAUCUCUACAUUAAUGAGGAAAAGACCUGGACUGAAGCUCAGCAGUACAGCAGAGAGAAACACACUGACCUGGCCACAGUGUCUAACAUGGCAGACAUGAAGAGACUCCUCAGUAACUCAGCAGGAAACAAGAAUGAAGCUUGGAUUGGUCUGUAUGAUCAGAGAGAUGGUGUCAGAACAUGGUACUGGUCUCUGCUUGGAGUGGAGUUCAAUGAAAGUGAGACAAACUGGAAAGAAAGAGAACCAAAUGAUCAUGAUACAGGAGAACUGUGUUCGUACAGUACAAAAUAAAUCUUCUAAAUGGAAUGACAUAUCUUGUAAUCAACGGUCAUUUUUUCUCUGCUAUGAUGAAAGUAAAACAUCAGAGAAAUUCUACCUGAUUAAAGAACAUAAGACCUGGCUGGAGGCUCAGAGUUACUGCAGAGAAACACACAGACCUGAUCAGUGGAAUGAAGCAGCUACAGGAUGGUCUACCUGUAGUUAAACAUGAAAAUGUAUUUAUUGGUCUGUUCAGAGACACCUGGAAGUGGUCAGAUGGAAGCAGCUUUUCUUUCAGACACUGGAACCUUAAGUUUAAUGAUGAGGAAUACAACAGUGGCAACAGUGGUCAAUGUGCCAUGACUGUGUUUGAUGAUGGAGGCAGAUGGAAGAAUGAGGACUGUGCGGAUAAUAAACCCUUCAUCUGUU